CGCGAAGUAGGUUAGUUUGGUAGCUCGCAGAACUCAUAACCUUUAGGUCACAUGUUCAAAUCAUGUUUUCGCAA
rfam:Beta vulgaris subsp. vulgaris Bvchr8.sca007.con0025.1, whole genome shotgun sequence.